GACGAACGCUGGCGGCGUGCCUAAUACAUGCAAGUCGAACGCAGUGGGGACGGGUGAGUAACACGUGGGUAACCUCCCAUCAGAGGGGAUAACACUUGGAAACAGGUGCUAAACCGAUACUGAUGGAUGAACCCGCGGUGCAUUAGCUAGUUGGUGAGGAAACGGCUAACCAAGGCCACGAUGCAUGGCGGACCGGAGAGGGUGCUAGGCCACACGGGGACGGGAAACGGGCCCAGACUCCUACGGGGGGCAGCAGGAGGGAAUCUUCGGCAAUGGACGAAAGUCUGACCGAGCAACGCCGCGUGAGUGAAGAGGGUUUUGGGAUCGUAAAACUCUGUUGUUAGAGAAGCGGUAUCUAACCAGAAAGCCACGGCUAACUACGUGCCAGCCGCCGCGGUAAUA
rnacentral:rRNA from 1 species